rnacentral:rRNA from 1 species
AAUAUCAAAGGUGAGCCAGUACAGGAUGGACCCGCGUCUGAUUAGCUAGUUGGUAAGGUAACGGCUUACCAAGGCGACGAUCAGUAGCCGACCUGAGAGGGUGAUCGGCCACAUUGGAACUGAGACACGGUCCAAACUCCUACGGGAGGCAGCAGUGGGGAAUAUUGCACAAUGGGCGAAAGCCUGAUGCAGCAACGCCGCGGGAGUGAUGAAGGCCUUCGGGUCGUAAAACUCUGUCCUCAAGGAAGAUAAUGACGGUACUUGAGGAGGAAGCCCCGGCUAACUACGUGCCAGCAGCCGCGGUAAUACGUAGGGGGCUAGCGUUAUCCGGAUUUACUGGGCGUAAAGGGUGCGUAGGCGGUCUUUCAAGUCAGGAGUGAAAGGCUACGGCUCAACCGUAGUAAGCUCUUGAAACUGGGAGACUUGAGUGCAGGAGAGGAGAGUGGAAUUCCUAGUGUAGCGGUGAAAUGCGUAGAUAUUAGGAGGAACACCAGUUGCGAAGGCGGCUCUCUGGACUGUAACUGACGCUGAGGCACGAAAGCGUGGGGAGCAAACAGGAUUAGAUACCCUG